GGAAACAAACUUGUUGAGCACACAAUUAGAAGAAUAGCCUCUUUCUCUCUCUCUCUCUCUCUCUCUCUAAAAUAUCAAGUCUCAAAAGUCUUCUCUCUCCAAAAAGAACACCAUUUCCUUCAACAUCAACAAAACCCAUUAUAUCUCUCUUGUCCAAAUUCAUUGUCCAAGUGCAAACACCUCCAAAAAGAGAGAGAGAGAUCUCUCCACAUGGGUCUCUGCUUUUGCUCUCUCUGUCCCUCCUCUAUACCUCCAUCCUCUUCCUCCUUCAACAAACCUCUCUCCUCAGGUUCAACAAGCACUGUUGGAUUCUCUGCAACUACAAGCAGUGCUGGAAGGAGUCAAUUUUCUGAGAUAACAAGUGGAAGCAUUGAGGAUACAACUGAAGGGUCUCUUUCUUUUCAUUCUCCAAAUGGUGAAAUUCUUGAAAGGCCAAAUUUGAAGGUUUUUAGUUUUGUUGACUUGAAAUCUGCUACAAGAAAUUUCAGACCUGAUACAUUACUUGGUGAAGGUGGUUUUGGAAGAGUUUAUAAAGGUUGGUUGGAUGAGAAAAAUCUUACUCCUGCUAAACCUGGCUCUGGAAUCAUGGUUGCCAUCAAAAAAUUGAACUCUGAAAGUACUCAAGGCUUUCAAGAAUGGCAGUCAGAAGUGAACUUUUUAGGAAGGCUUUCUCACCCAAACUUGGUGAAACUAUUGGGUUACUGUUGGGAUGAUGAAGAGCUUCUUCUUGUGUAUGAGUUCAUGGCAAAGGGUAGUUUGGAGAAUCAUCUCUUCAGAAGAAAUCCUAACAUUGAACCACUUUCUUGGAACACAAGAAUCAAAAUAGCUAUUGGUGCAGCUAGGGGUUUGGCUUUCUUGCAUGAUUCAGAAAAGCAAGUCAUUUACAGAGAUUUUAAGGCCUCAAAUAUACUACUUGAUGGGAGUUUCAAUGCAAAAAUUUCAGAUUUUGGAUUAGCUAAAUUGGGGCCUUCAGGGGAACAAUCACAUGUAACUACGAGGGUGAUGGGCACAUAUGGUUAUGCUGCUCCAGAAUACAUUGCAACAGGGCACUUAUAUGUGAAGAGUGAUGUGUAUGGGUUUGGAGUAGUAUUGCUAGAAAUGCUGUCAGGAAUGAGAGCAUUGGACAGAACAAGACCACCAGGGCAACAAAACUUAGUUGAAUGGGGGAAACCUCUUCUAUCAAAUAAGAAGAAAUUGAAAAACAUAAUGGAUGGUAAAAUAGAAGGACAAUACUCACAAAAAGCAGCUAUACAAGCAGCACAACUUUCUCUAAAAUGCUUAGAAAAUGAUCCUAAACAACGUCCUUCUAUGAAAGAUGUACUUGAGUCAUUGGAAAUUAUUGAAGCCAUUCAAGUCAAAUCCAAAAACCACAUUUCUCGUCAUCAACCUCCAAUUCAUCAUGGUAUUGCUAGACACAGAGUUGUAAAAGUUUAAUUUUUUUUUUAUUGAUUGAUUAGCAAAUAUAGGCUGGAUCAGUCACUUAAUACAGGUAUUUUUUUUUAUUUAUUAAAAAGUAAUAUUUUUCUCUUUUUUGCUGGAUGUGGGUGGUUGAUUAUUUUCUCAUUUUUUUUUAUAGAUUUCUUCAAUUUGAAGUAAUUCUAUUCGAAACGUGUCGGAUAUUAUUUUAUAAUUUUUUUUUUGUUAACAUAACCCUCAUCCAAUGCGUGAGGUUCAGCGACAUCAUGGUGAUGCAGAUACCAUGGCCUUGAAUGUUGAUGAUGUGUUAUACUGCUAUUACAAUCCAGAUAAAGAAGACUUUGGAGGUUUGGUUAGGAACUGUUACAAGAAACUGUUAUAUUUUUCAGACUCUUUACAUGUUGUGCAAUUGGGGACUAUUGGUAAAAAUAGAUUUCAUCAUGCCAACAUUUUGGUGGCUAUUUAGGUACCUUUUGACAAAAGAUUGGAACGUUAUCUUACACCA